CUAAUCUCUGUAGGUGCCACAGGGCAAAUUCUCUGUUCAGUUGCACUCAAAUCUUCUCCCAUUUUAGCAUCAACACCAUCUUGCUGUACUGUGAAUUUCCCCUGCUUACUUGCAUGUGACUUGCUUUCAUUUUUCUCCUAACUUUUAUACUUUCUAUUAUCCAAUAUUCUUCCCAGAAUAUUUCCCACUUUAAAUGGCUUCUAUAGGAUUUCCUUUUCCUUUUUUAAAAACAAACAUUUUUUUUCAUCUUUCUACAUAGACAUAUUAGACAUGACAGGUUUAUACCUGUCCACCUCUAAUACACAGUGUCCCUGAAAUAGGCACAGACAACGAUGGGUGUUUCCCCAUGCUCAAAGAUGGAGUAAAAGGUAAGUAAAAUUCAUUAGAUGAAGCAGCACAAGUGGGCAGCACAACAAUAAGGUCACAGGAAGGUUUUGAUUUGAAUGUGAAUCAUUCCCUGUACAAUCCAGAGGUUGGAAGAGGACAGUCUCCUUCUCUCUUGUAUUUAGGUGGCAUCAGAUGAGGGGAGUUGUGGUUGGCUUCCCUCCACCCUGACUUUGGAAGAUUUUCAUGAGAUGGACCCCAUUCCUUUGGCACAUCCAGCGAGGUGGUGUCUGGAUACUGACUAGUCCAUGCCUGUCAAAAUGCUGGAUGGGAAGCAGAGCAGGAUAGGACACUUGGAGAUCAUGAAGAUUUCAGCGAUACCAUACUCCCCUGCAGGAGGAGGGAUUAAGAGGGUUACAGAACAGAUUUACAAGCCCUGGAGAGGUAACAAGGCGAAUGCACCUUUGCAGUCAUUAAUCCAUACUGCCUUCACAUCUGCAGUUUCUCACUGAAACUUGGGCAAGGAGAGUUUGAGACACUGUGAUAGCAACACCAGGUGGGAUUUUCUGGAAUGGAUAAGUGCUCGGAAUCAAGAAAUAAUAUUCUGCUGAAUCCUUUCCUUCUCCCUCUCCCUCUGUGGCACACCCUCACUGUGGCCCUGUCUGUCACCAGAGAAGAUGACAGCAGCUUUCCUCUGUACAGAGACUGUUCCAUACCUGAGCAGUGCUGGGAUUUUCAGGCAGAAGUGGGUCUUGUAUUGCCACACACAGCUUGUGUUCGGGUGUGGCUCCUACAUCAGGCUCAUCCCACAUACCCACCUUGUGGGUUAUGCUGGUGGAUGGGGUGCUGGUGAUCCAGUCCCUGCCUGAGGAUGAAACCAUCAUGCUGCUGUCUUGUUAUGGCCAUGCAGGACAUUCUGGAAUGGAGUGAAAGAACCCUGGGCAUGUGUUUGUCUCCUACCCAUGAUCUGCUUCCAUGAACCCUUCUGGUGGAGGUGGGUUGGGCUGCAGCUCUGGACUGGGUGAAAAUCUCACUAAGCAUCUCAUAGGUUUAGAAAGUUUGACUUCUUCAAGCCAUGAGCUAUCAUGAAUAUGGCAACUUCUAACAUCACUAAUGUGUCUGUAGAGAAGAAAUUAAAACAGAGGCCCCAAUGAAGGCAAGGGACUUUUGGGGAAAAGAAAAGCUAGCUCCAGGGAAGGGGCAGAGAGGAAGUCCUUGGUGCAGCCCUUGUUUCUGCUCUCAGGAUGUAAACACAAGCACUAGAGGGAUACUCCCUCAGAGAAGCAGAACCUGUUGAGGUCCUGAUACCAUCCUCACCACUGGAACCAGCCAGCCAUCACAGCUCCCUGCAGCAUCGUCCCACCAACGUGCACCCCUGAUAUCACUUGUUAGGGACCACCUUGCUCUCUGACAGCUAUUCCUACUGGAAUCUCUUACAGAAGGAAUCAGCAUGGGUUAGAGAAACCCAUGGGUAGUAUUGAGAAGGCAAUUGAUAUGCUGGGAAAUUUAGGACUUUUAUGGACUUGCAGAAGUUUCAAGCUUCUGACAUCAGUCUGAAUCCUUUUUUCUGAGCUUAUAGUGAACACUGAAAAUAUUAAGAGUACUUUCAGUUGAAAAAUUUUUAUUCACCACACAUAUCACAGUCUAUUUGUGUUGACUUUCAACAACAGCAUUUUAUUUACUCACAGCAUUUUUUUGUUGGUUGAUAUUUAGCAGCUCCACCUGCUGAUGCCCAACCCUGCAGGACGAUAUGCAAGUAAAAAUGAUGCAAGAAAUAGAAAAUGGUGACUUCCUUUUUCCACUUCUUCUGAUUAAUUUCACACAUUUGGUAUAUUAAUGAUUGGUUUUUUCAC
rnacentral:lncRNA from 1 species